UACGAAGGGGGCUAGCGUUGCUCGGAAUGACUGGGCGUAAAGGGCGCGUAGGCGGACGGCUUUGUCGGGCGUGAAAUUCCAGGGCUUAACCCUGGGGCUGCGUUCGAGACGGGUUGUCUAGAGUUUGGAAGAGGGUCGUGGAAUUCCCAGUGUAGAGGUGAAAUUCGUAGAUAUUGGGAAGAACACCGGUGGCGAAGGCGGCGACCUGGUCCUUGACUGACGCUGAGGCGCGAAAGCGUGGGGAGCAAACAGG
rnacentral:rRNA from 1 species